rnacentral:rRNA from 1 species
UGCCUUUCCAUCUGGAAAGAAUCUGGAGAUAGGUGCUGCAUGGCUGUCGUCAGCUCGUGUCGUGAGAUGUUGGGUUAAGUCCCGCAACGAGCGCAACCCUUGCCUUUAGUUGCCAGCAGUUCGGCUGGGCACUCUAAAGGGACUGCCGGUGUUAAACCGGAGGAAGGUGGGGAUGACGUCAAGUCCUCAUGGCCUUUAUGACCAGGGCUACACACGUACUACAAUGGCCGAUACAAAGGGCAGCGACACUGCGAGGUGAAGCCAAUCCCGUAAAAUCGGUCUCAGUCCGGAUUGGAGUCUGCAACUCGACUCCAUGAAGUUGGAAUCGCUAGUAAUCGUGGAUCAGCAUGCCACGGUGAAUACGUUCCCGGGCCUU